rnacentral:rRNA from 1 species
AUGCCUCCUAGGAAGAAGCGCAAGGGUGCGUCGCCGGUGUGCGCCACCGACCGCAUCGGCACCCUCCCCGACAAUAUGCUCCACCACCUGCUCUCUUUCCUGCCAGCGCAGGCGGCUGUGCGGACGUGUGUGCUCGCCCGCCGUUGGCGCGACCUCUGGAGGUCCGCCACAGGCCUGCGAAUUGUCGGCCUCGACGACGACAACGACGAGAAGCCUGUCCAGGCCCAGGACCUCCAUAAGUCCGUGGACUAUCUGCUGGUCCUGCGUGAGCGCACAGACCUAGACACCGUUGAGAUAAGAUUCGACACUUUCCUGGAAGAGGACAUACCCUAUGUGAACCUAUGGGUCCGUUCUGCUGUGAUGUGCAAAGUUCAGGUGUCCAGCAUUGGAGGAUCUGAAGAUGGUUAA